AGAUUGAACGCUGGCGGAAUGCUUUACACAUGCAAGUCGAACGGCAGCACGGGGGCAACCCUGGUGGCGAGUGGCGAACGGGUGAGUAACACAUCGGAACGUGCCCAGUCGUGGGGGAUAACUACGCGAAAGCGUAGCUAAUACCGCAUACGAACUCUGGUUGAAAGCGGGGGACUCGCAAGAGCCUCGCGCGAUUGGAGCGGCCGAUGGCAGAUUAGGUAGUUGGUGGGGUAAAGGCUCACCAAGCCGACGAUCUGUAGCUGGUCUGAGAGGACGACCAGCCACACUGGGACUGAGACACGGCCCAGACUCCUACGGGAGGCAGCAGUGGGGAAUUUUGGACAAUGGGCGCAAGCCUGAUCCAGCCAUUCCGCGUGCAGGAUGAAGGCCCUCGGGUUGUAAACUGUCUUUUGUACGGAACGAAAAGCGCUGAGUUAACUACCUCGGCGUCAUGACGGUACCGUAAGAAUAAGCACCGCUAACUAGUCGCCAG
rnacentral:rRNA from 1 species